GACGAACGCUGGCGGCGUGCUUAACACAUGCAAGUCGAACGGAAAGGCCCUGCUUGCAGGGUACUCGAGUGGCGAACGGGCGAGUAACACGGGGGUGAACUGCCCUCCACUUCGGGGUAAGCCUGGGCAAAGGGGACUAAUAGCGGAUAGGGGCCAUUUUCAGUGGGAUGGUUGGAAAGUUUUUUCGGGGUAGGAUGAGCUCGCGGCCUAUCAGCUUGUUGGUGGGGUAAUGGCCUACCAAGGCGGCGACGGGUAGCCGGCCAGAGAGGGUGGACGGCCACAUUGGGACUGAGAUACGGCCCAGACUCCGACGGGAGGCAGAAGUGGGGAAUAUUGCACAAGGGGCGCAAGCCUGAUGCAGCGACGCCGCGUGGGGGAUGACGGCCUUCGGGUUGUAAACUCCUUUCGCUAGGGACGAAGCUUUUUGUGACGGUACCUAGAGAAGAAGCACCGGCUAACUACGUG
rnacentral:rRNA from 1 species